rnacentral:lncRNA from 10 species
AUUUCAGGCGAGCCGAGCCCCAGAGCCAUGUGUCUGGUGCGCAGUGUUAACAGGGCAGUUAUACCUUUUACAGACAACUGUGGCUCCAAGUCAAGUAUGAACUUACACAAACAGUUUAUAUAACAAGUGGAGGUGUGCGCCUGCGUGCCAAACUUGCUGACUCGUGCAGGCCUGGAUACCCGCCUCAGACUAUUCCUUGACCGAAGCACUUCCAGGGCAGGAAACUGAAGCUCUUGGGAAGGUGGAAGUUGCACGUGGUCUCACAGUCAACUGUGCCAGAAUAGGAGGCCAGGAACCAUCUCUGCUGGAGGAAGACCCACCACGCAUCCCUUCAAGAAUGCCAAGGUCCAGAGCAAGUGCUUCCCUUCUAUGGGCACAGGAGGGCUGUGGGAGCCCACAGAAUGUGCUUCUGGCCAGAGGUAUGUGGCAUUCUUUAUAAUAAUGGACAUUUGGGAGCAUUUACUAUGUGCUAGGCACUUCUCUUGACAUACAUUAACUUAAUUAAGAAACCCUAUAAAGUAAGUGCUAUAUUAUUGCUAUUUUACAGAUGAGAAAACUGAGGCCCAGAAAGGCUAAGUAAUUUGUCCAAGGUCACUCUUGUAGGAAUUGGCAGAGCCAUGAUCUGAACUCAAUCAAGUCUGAUUCCAGAGCCAGUGCUGUUAGUUCCAUGCUCUCCUGUCUCAUGCCCCUCACUCUCUGGGUUUUAAGGACAGUUAUUUACUUAGUCCAUUGUAUGACUGAGUAUGUUCAUGUACGUGAUUCCAUUUGAUUUCUUUCUACAGCAGCCCUAGGACGUAGGUAGAUUGAACAACAUUGUCCCUAUCAGGCGGUGAGGAAACUAAGACAGAGGUCAAGCAUCUUUUUCAAGGUCACCUUAUUAGUAAUAAACUACUCAGGCUCCUGAUUUUGAAGAAAUCUUUGCUCCAUUGACCCACGUGGAGUUAAUCCUAUGUGUAGGGUUAGAAACAAGGAGUAAUGCUCAACACCCGAUUUGCAAUCUCAGUUGAUUUAAGACCCAGGACUUACCUCCUACACAUCAUGACCUCCUUGCAAAAUAGAAUGGAAUCAUCGCCUCCAGGUGAUACUAGGUUGCCAGGACAAGAUGGGCCUGACCUUCCUCUGGUGAUGGGUGUUGACCAUAAGGCCACAUGAGAAACUGAGUGCUAGGUCACAGUGCUCCCGGAACUGGCCUAUGGGUGUGCCCUGAAGAAGUAGAGCAAUGGCAGUCCUUGUUCAGAUUACCCUGUCUUCCUGGGUUGCUCCAGCAUGUUCUCUGUAAGAACUUCAGUCAUCUUCCUGGCAUGAGAGAAUCUCAGGUCUGGUCACCAUCAAUAAGGAGGGUCCCCUUUGGAUAGAGUGGCUAUGGGCCACCUGACUAGUGACUAGCUUCCCUUGGUCCAGUGUAUGGAUGCUUUUGGCCUGAGCCAGGUUACAAGGCUGAUUUCAUUCAAGGUGCAGGACACUGUCCAGAACAACUUCACUGAAAGAGCCUCCUGGACCCCUUUGCUCUGAAGGGGGCUGAGGACUUACUGCCAGGCAGUAAGCUAUCAGUGGCCUGUUAAACACAAAGAUAGAGCUUAGAAGAGGCCUUGGAAAUGACAUUUUAUUUUAUUAACAAUAUAGGCCAAGUUUAAAGCGUCACUGGAACUGUUCACUGCUGAGCUGGAAGCAGAACCAGGCUUCUGACUCCAGGUCCGGCACACUACUGCUGCUCGCAGGAGAUGUCUAGAUUGCCUAGUCAAACAAGCCUCUUAGAUUAAGUACAAAGGGAUGUGGAGUCUACUAUCCGCUCCGCUGGAAGCUUGCUGAGUACUACCCAAUAAUUUUUUUUAAAAGCAGGACUUUCUUGGGUAUCAACAUUUCCAUAUCUUCUCUCCUUUCCCAAAUCCCUGCUCUGUAAUUUGAGAUGCUUCCCUGAUCUCAGACUCAGUGCAGACACAGUACAGAAAGGAUGAGAAGGCAUGAGGAAACCCCAAACAACAGAGCCAGGAAUCUGUCUGCGGAAGGGAGAGAUGCUGGAAGGGUCAAGCAGGUGGGGAGGUAUCAGAUGCCACAUGUCUGCAGUGGCGACCCUGCUGCCCAACGCCAACCCUGCUUCUUGGCAGCAUCUGCUGGACCAUCAGAGGCAUGAUUCAGCCAGAGGACACAUCCGAACCCGUUAGGCAUGGAACACCAAGUAAACAGCCCCUAGGAAUGUCUCUGACUUGAAUUUCAGCUCAUUUACUUGGGAGCAUCUGUCCUCUCUGGUUGGGGAAAAGAGGAAUAGGGGAUAGGGAAGGCUCAGCUUACAACACCCUUUGGCUAAAGGAGGCUGCGUGGUCUGGGGGGCAGUGGUUCUUGGGAUGUUUGGUGGGGGUACUGCAGGGACAGAGGGUGGGGCAAGGGGAGACUGAGGGGAAGGCUAUUCCUGGCACCCCCACAUCCCUGGCUCUCAGCUACUCAGCUGCUAUCUGCUCCAAACAGUGCAAUUCUGCUUGAAUUUCGUUUCAAGUGAAGGUUCUGUGACUAGAACUUUCUGAGAAGCAUUGAACUCAUGGAGAUGUGUAGGAUGAGAGCAAGCAAGGUUUUGAGCUCAUACCUGCCAACAGCUUCUGAGUGACCUUCAUCAAAGCUACGCAUCCCAAGAGCCAGACUUCGGUCAUCUCCACUGCAAGGAAGAUUUGCGUGGGCUCUGUCCUGUCUUCCCACACGGGAAGGGGGUCAGGGCAACUGUCUAAGCAGGUGACCCUGCCUUGGAAAUGCUUUCAUCUUGAGGGCACUCAGACCAGCCCUCCAACCCGCCCCCUCUCCCCUCCUAUCCCAGAUGAACUCAAAGGUGUGACACUAACUGGAAAGAUAAAAAGGAUGAUUAAAAAUCAAGGUAUUGGCCAGGUGUGGUGGCUCACGCCUGUAAUCUCAGCACUUUUGGGAGGCUGAGGCGGGCAGAUCACCUGAGGUCGGGAGUUCGAGACCAGCCUGAGUAACAUGGAGAAACCCCGUCUCUGCUAAAAAUACAAAAUUAGCUGGGCGUGGUGGCGC